rnacentral:rRNA from 1 species
GUCUUUUCGUUUAUUUGGAAAGUCUGGCCUGCCCAGUGAAUUAUUUAACGGCCGCGGUAUAUUGACCGUGCAAAGGUAGCAUAAUCAUUAGUCUUUUAAUAGGAGGCUGGAAUGAAAGGUUUAAUGAAACAUAUUCUGUCUCAUUUAUACAUUUAGAAUUUAACUUUUAAGUCAAAAGGCUUAAAUUUAAUUGAAGGACGAGAAGACCCUAUAGAGCUUUACAUUUAUUUAUUUUAAUAUUAUGUUGAUUAUGAUUUAUUUAUUAAUUUUGUUUUUGUUUUGUUGGGGUGACAAAAUAUAUAUAUUGAACUUUUGUUAUUAUAUAUACAUUAAUUUAUGUGUUAUUGGAUCCAUUAAUAUUGAUCAUUAGAUUAAGUUACCUUAGGGAUAACAGCGUAAUCUUCUUUCAGAGUUCAAAUUUACAAGAAGGCUUGCGACCUCGAUGUUGGAUUAAGAUUAUAAUUGGGUGCAGUAGCUUGAUUAAUAGGUCUGUUCGACCUUUAAAUUCUUACAUGAUCUGAGUUCAGACCGG